UACGAAGGGGGCUAGCGUUGUUCGGAAUUACUGGGCGUAAAGCGUGCGCAGGCGGCUUCUCAAGUCAGGGGUGAAAGCCCAGAGCUCAACUCUGGAAUUGCCUUUGAGACUGAGUGGCUUGAGUACGAGAGAGUGAGUGGAAUUCCCAGUGUAGAGGUGAAAUUCGUAGAUAUUGGGAAGAACACCGGUGGCGAAGGCGGCUCACUGGCUCGUAACUGACGCUCAUGCACGACAGCGUGGGGAUCAAACAGG
rnacentral:rRNA from 1 species